GAUGAAGAACGUAGCAAAAUGCGAUAAGUAAUGUGAAUUGCAGAAUUCAGUGAAUCAUCGAAUCUUUGAACGCACAUUGCGCCCGCCAGUAUUCUGGCGGGCAUGCCUGUUCGAGCGUCAUUUCAACCCUCAAGCCCUCGGGUUUGGUGUUGGGGAUCGGCGAGCCUUUCUGGCAAGCCGGCCCCGAAAUCUAGUGGCGGUCUCGCUGCAGCCUCCAUUGCGUAGUAGUAAAACCCUCGCAACUGGAACGCGGCGCGGCCGAGCCGUUAAACCCCCAACUUCUGAAUGUUGACCUCGGAUCAGGUAGGAAUACCCGCUGAACUUAAGCAUAUCAAUAAGCGGAGGA
rnacentral:misc_RNA from 1 species